UUGUCUUGGCAGUUGGAAAAGGCCUUAAGUCUGUUGCCAAGGGAGUUUGAGAUGGUUUUAAGACUCUUGGAGGUAAAUUUGCUGCAAUUCUACCCAGUCUAAUAAGUUUGAUCAUUGGCUUCAUAUCCAGAGCUGCUGAAUCAGUUAUCAGCUUCCUCAGUCAAAAUGCAUGGCUUCUGAUCCUGGGGGUUGCAAUAUUCAUGGUUGAGUGAUUUCAGAAUAAAAAAUGAUGAAUCAAGAAGGCCAAGACCAGACCUGCAGAAAUCAAACUGACCUUUACUAUAUCAUAAUUAGUCUCUCUGGCUUGAGCUCUGUGUUUUAUCUUUAUUUGAUGAUUUUGUCUUCACAUGAACUUCAGUUGAAGUCUGAUUAAUUGGAUUUGACUGGUGAGAGGUUGGUCUGUUAUUUUUUGAUGAGCCCCCAUUCGUGUGCCUUCCUCCAACUGAUUUCAUCUCCAAAUUCACUGAUUUGUUGACUAUGAGCUUUAUGUCAGAACUUGCCUUCUUCAGGUGUUAUUAUACCCAACAGUACUCUGAGUGUUCAGAAGAGUAAUUGAGGGUAUGAACCAAGUGCCUGGUGAGACUGCAAGAUCAAGCCUGACUUUUGCUUCAUCAAUGGAAAUUGCAAGGGAAACAAGAAACUGGCAGUUGUGGUUGUGAUUGAGGUGGGCAGACAGGCAGGUGUAACACGACAUAAGUACAAGAUUGAUUGACAUAAAUGACCUACUUGUCACACCAUCCACAUGUUUGGAAGCAGUGAUAUCGAACGAACUUUCCACUUGUUCCCUUUUGGGAGCAUAGGUGGCCAAAAAGUUUGCACAAGCGUCUAUAAGAGUCCCGACAGACUAAGAUAAUCAAGAAAUAAGCAUAUUGUGAGGAG